rnacentral:rRNA from 1 species
UACGUAGGGACCAAGCGUUGUUCGGAUUUACUGGGCGUAAAGGGCGCGUAGGCGGCGUGACAAGUCACUUGUGAAAUCUCCGGGCUUAACUCGGAACGGCCAAGUGAAACUGUCAUGCUAGAGUGCAGAAGGGGCAAUCGGAAUUCUUGGUGUAGCGGUGAAAUGCGUAGAUAUCAAGAGGAACACCUGAGGUGAAGACGGGUUGCUGGGCUGACACUGACGCUGAGGUGCGAAAGCGUGGGGAGCAAACAGG